rnacentral:snRNA from 1 species
GGCCUUGUACAGUGGCAGUAUCACAGCCAAUGAGGUUUAUCCGAGGUGUGAUUAUUGCUAAUUGAAAACUUUUCCCCAUACCUUUCCAUGACGACUUGAAAUAUUGUCGGCACUGGCAAUUUUUGACAGUCUCUGCAGAGA